AGCUUUGCACGGUGGCAGUAUCAUAGCCAAUGAGGUUUAUCCGAGGCGCGAUUAUUGCUAGUUGAGAACUUUUCCCAGAGUAAGUCUUUUACUACGUUAAGUUACAUCAUGAUACUCAUCUGUUCAAACCUCCAUUGUGU
rnacentral:snRNA from 1 species